rnacentral:lncRNA from 1 species
CUUUUAUUUUCUGUCUUCUUUGCCUUCAAGUGUCAAUUGGCUCCUCUCAGUCACAGCUGUACAAAUCACAGGAUUUUUUUUUUUAUUGGCAUAAGACAUAUGCAUUAUUCAUCUAUUCAGUUUCAUCUGAAGGAAAUCCAAAAAAGACACAACUUUACCUUCCAAAGAAAUAUUUAAAGCUGCUUUUUCCCUGCGAGAAAGUAGGCAGAAAACUUCAUCCAUGAUCUACAGCGUACCACUGAACUCACAGCUGGGCAGCUCAAACGACAGAUGGAGAGAAUUUCUGGGAUCUCACAUUUCAGGAGUGGCAAGGAGGGAGGCAGCUGAUGCUGAAAAAGACCUUAAAUUCAAGUAAUAUGGUGCACCCAGAACACCCUUCAACAGCUUCAGGCAAGUGAAAACAUUUAUUGAGCAUCUACUUGAUGCCCAGCAUUGUGCUAGGUGCUGGGGAUGCAAGAACAAUCGUGGUGGACUGCUCCCUGUCCUCAUGCAAUCAACAGGAAUCCUGUUACCAGAAGCAGCAGAGGAAAAGGGACCCUAGGAGAUCAUCAGCUGGAAGACUGCAGGAUUACAGCUGCCUCAGUCCGGAUCCCAACGGCACAACUACUUCCAAAACUGUCUCCCGGUGAGGCAGCUAAGAUGCGGAGAGAAGAAAUGGGGAGUCAGGAGCUCCAGCCCUGUGUGUCCAGGGUACGUAUGUAAAAAGGCAACCUAAAUUCAGAUUUAAAGCUUCUUGUUGCCCAGGAUGUGCUGGACGCAGACAUCAAGCAUGGGAGGUAGAUAUCCUCCCUGCUUUUCAGAUGAGGAAACUGCCCAUCAGAAAGUCAAGCGACGCCCCGUGCACGCCUGGUUGGUGCCGGAGGCAGGAUGGAAAGCCUGGUCCUGCUGACUCCAGGACCUUCCUCUCCCCACAGGGGCUUGUAACAUGCCCCAAAAUCAACAAAUAAGCCAAAAAUAAAUCCAAUCUCAAAGCAAAAAUAGUCUUUCUUUUUCUAGUUUCCUCCAGUUGUGAAAGAAAAACAAGACUUUGGAGUUCCAUUUAUAAGGAUAAAAUUUCCUGUGAUUUGUGAAAAUGGUAAAAGUAUAUACAGCUGUAUAAGGUCUCACCGUGGCACCUGAGUCCGGCAUGUUUCCUUACUUGAUAUACACGUCUUCCUUUGUCCUGCACUUCACAUUUGAUCUACAAGACGUAAAUUCUUCGAGGGAUAAAAGACUUGGUGAGCACAGAAUCAAAAACCAAUAAAGGGAUUUUUUUGUUUUUUUUUUAAAUGUUCUUGCUAACAUAGAAAGGCUUACAGGUAGACCACUCAACCUAACAUGAUGCCCUGUGAGGUGUCGGGUAUAAGGUGAGCAAGUGGGCUCUGUGAAAACAACUCCAAGAUGCAGAGGAAAAGAACUCUGGAGUGAGGUGCUGUGAACAACGCUCUUAGCAAACAGAAUUAUUUUUGAUGUUGUUUCCACCUGGCUGAUGAUUGUUUUAGAGCAAGUCUCCUGUCACGGCCUGGCAUUGGAUCUGCAGAAUUCCUUAACAGACACUGGGCCGGCAGGCAGGAAGACAUCACACGCCCGGCGAAGAUACAAAACGUCCGGGGCAUUGCCAUGACUCUCAAGGUGUUGUUUAGAGUUCAUGUGAGUACUUCUAAAAAUACGAUGGGAUGGCCUUUCCGAGCUUGUUUCCUUUAGAUGCUAGACCAUCAAUCAACAGACGAGAAACAGCUAUUAGAAGAUAAGUUUGAGAAAAAUGUACAAUAUUUAAUCAGUCCUUACUGUGUGGUUUUUCUGUGCUGAAUCUCCCAUUCAACAUUCAGCCCCAAAUUCUAC